rnacentral:rRNA from 1 species
CUGAACCAGCCAAGUAGCGUGAAGGAUGACUGCCCUAUGGGUUGUAAACUUCUUUUAUAUGGGAAUAAAGUGAGCCACGUGUGGCUUUUUGUAUGUACCAUACGAAUAAGGAUCGGCUAACUCCGUGCCAGCAGCCGCGGUAAUACGGAGGAUCCGAGCGUUAUCCGGAUUUAUUGGGUUUAAAGGGAGCGUACGCGGAUUAUUAAGUCAGUUGUGAAAGUUUGCGG